rnacentral:misc_RNA from 1 species
AAGUCGUAACAAGGUAUCCGUAGGUGAACCUGCGGAUGGAUCAUUAACGAGAGCCAAUGGUGCCGGGCCCGUGUGGUGGGAAGUGUGUGCGGUGUGUGUGUGCGUGUGGUGCUGCGUCGCCGUCGCUGCGGCGCGCGCCAGCACACACACGGCAGCAGUAAACGCGCGAAGCAUGCGGCAUGGCCGGUCAGAUGAUGCAGGAGCAAAGCAAAGCAACCGAACACAACUGCUAGCAACGGAUCACUCGGCUCUC